rnacentral:rRNA from 1 species
CCGGGCAAAUCGGAUAACUCUGACGCCCACUAGCUUGCUCGCACAACAUCAUAACAUUUAAAUAUAAAUAUACACACACCAACAAAUAAGCAAACAAAUCAUUUUUCCACUUUAGUAUAAGUGAUAGAAAAAGACAUCGACGCAAUAGAGAAAGUACCGUAAGGGAACGCUGAAAGAGAAAUGAAAUAACUCAGUAAAGCACAACAAAGCAGAGCUCACCCCUCGUACCUUUUGCAUCAUGUUUUAGCCAGAGCCCCUCAAGCAAAAAGCAUUGUAGUUUGACAACCCGAAACUAAGGGAGCUACUCCAGGCCAGCCUAAUAAAAAGGGCCAACCCGUCUCUGUGGCAAUAGAGUGGGAAGAGCUUUGAGUAGAGGUGACAGACCUACCGAACUUAGUUAUAGCUGGUUACCUGAAAAUUGGAUAGAAGUUCAGCCUCUUAAGUUCUCCCCUCACCUUGAUAUCUUUCUAAGUGAGACACCAAGAAAUUAAGAGAGUUAGUCAAAGGGGGUCCAGCCCCUUUGAAUAAAGAAACAACUUUUCUGGGUGGAUAAAGAUCAAAUUCAUAAAGGUAAGUCAUUGAGGUGGGCUUAAAAGCAGCCAUCCUAAUAAAAAGCGUUAAAGCUUGAACAUUGCACUCAAACCCCUAAUUCCGAUUUUAGCCUCCUACUCCCCCUUCUCCUAUCAGGUUUUCCCAUAUCAUAUGGGAAUAAUAAUGCUAAUAUGAGUAAUAAGAGAGCAAGACUCUCUCCACGCCCAAGUGUAACCCGGAACGGACCCCCCGCCGGCCAUUAACGGUCCCAUAACUGAGGGUAAUAGGCCAAAAAUAGAGAACUAGAAGACCACCCAAAUAUCCCCGUUAACCCUACACUGGAGCGCCUCCGUGGAAAGACUAAAAGAAAAAGAAGGAACUCGGCAAACAUAAUUGGCCUCGCCUGUUUACCAAAAACAUCGCCUCUUGAUCCCCUAAAUAUAAAAGGUCCCGCCUGCCUUGUGACUAUACUUUUAACGGCGGCGGUAUCUUGACUGUGCGAAGGUAGCGCAAUCA